UACGAAGGGGGCUAGCGUUGCUCGGAAUCACUGGGCGUAAAGGGUGCGUAGGCGGGUCUUUAAGUCAGGGGUGAAAUCCCGGGGCUCAACCCCGGAACCGUCCUUCGAUACUGGGUAUCUUGAGUUCGGAAGAGGUGAGUGGAAUUGCGAGUGUAGAGGUGAAACUCGUAGAUAUUCGCAGGAACACCAGUGGCGAAGGCGGCUCACUGGUCCGAUACUGACGCUGAGGUGCGAAAGCGUGGGAGCAAACAGG
rnacentral:rRNA from 1 species